GGGCCCGCACAAGCGGUGGAGCAUGUGGUUUAAUUCGAUGCAACGCGAAGAACCUUACCUACUCUUGACAUCCUUGGAAUCCUCUGGAGACAGAGGAGUGCCUUCGGGAACCAAGUGACAGGUGCUGCAUGGCUGUCGUCAGCUCGUGUCGUGAGAUGUUGGGUUAAGUCCCGUAACGAGCGCAACCCUCGUCCUUAGUUGCCAGCACGUCAUGGUGGGAACUCUAAGGAGACUGCCGGUGAUAAACCGGAGGAAGGUGGGGAUGAUGUCAAGUCAUCAUGGCCCUUACGAGUAGGGCUACACACGUGCUACAAUGGGCAGUACAAAGGGUUGCCAAGCCGCGAGGUGGAGCUAAUCCCAUAAAGCUGUUCGUAGUCCGGAUUGGAGUCUGCAACUCGACUCCAUGAAGUCGGAAUCGCUAGUAA
rnacentral:rRNA from 1 species